CAAUAACGUAUAUUAAAGUUGUUGCAGUUAAAAAGCUCGUAGUUGGAUUUGUGGCGUACGGUGUGUUCCGGGCACUUGUUGUCUGAGUAACCUGCUGUUGCCAUCCUUGGGUGGAACCUGUGUGGCAUUAGGUUGUCGUGCAGGGGAUGCCCAUCAUUUACUGUGAAAAAAUUAGAGUGUUCAAAGCAGGCUUAUGCCGUUGAAUAUAUUAGCAUGGAAUAAUGAGAUAGGACUUUUUUGCUAUUUUGUUGGUUUGCGCAAAGAGGUAAUGAUUAAUAGGGACAGUUGGGGGUAUUCGUAUUCCAUUGUCAGAGGUGAAAUUCUUGGAUUUCUGGAAGACGAACUACUGCGAAAGCAUUUACCAAGGAUGUUUUCAUUAA
rnacentral:rRNA from 1 species